rnacentral:rRNA from 1 species
UACGUAGGGUGCGAGCGUUGUCCGGAAUUAUUGGGCGUAAAGAGCUUGUAGGCGGUUUGUCGCGUCUGCUGUGAAAAUCCGGGGCUCAACCCCGGACUUGCAGUGGGUACGGGCAGACUAGAGUGUGGUAGGGGAGACUGGAAUUCCUGGUGUAGCGGUGAAAUGCGCAGAUAUCAGGAGGAACACCGAUGGCGAAGGCAGGUCUCUGGGCAAUUCCUGACGCUGAGGCGCGAAAGCGUGGGGAGCAAACGGG